UACGUAGGCAGCAAGCGUUGUCCGGAUUUAUUGGGCGUAAAGAGCGUGUAGGCGGCCAUACAGGUCAGCUGUGAAAACUCGAGGCUCAACCUCGAGACGUCGGUUGAAACCGUAUGGCUAGAGUCCGGAAGAGGAGAGUGGAAUUCCCGGUGUAGCGGUGAAAUGCGCAGAUAUCGGGAAGAACACCCGUGGCGAAGGCGGCUCUCUGGGACGGUACUGACGCUGAGACGCGAAAGCGUGGGGAGCGAACAGG
rnacentral:rRNA from 1 species